CCCGGCUCCUCCGCCACCGCCGCCGCCUUCGCCGCUGCUUCAGCCGCUUGUUUUGUUUCGACUUCUAGCUACGGCUACGGGAGGCGGAGUGCCGAGCUGAUGACGCACUUCCGGCAAGAGUGGGGGCUUUUCAGGGCCUCCAGGAGGGCAUCUAAUUGCCGAGCCCGCUCACCAGCAGAGUUCAGAGACUUCUCAGCACCUGCCAUCCUCUCCUGGACCUGCCACAGAAAGGCCCAGGUUUAACAAAUCCACCUUUAGUACCAGCAACUGAGAAGGAGAAGCAAGUUGGUCUCUGUAACUUCCAGGCUGGCCAGGGCUACACAGUAAGACCUCCCUGUCCCAGACAAAGCAAGCCAGAUCCAUAGUACAUGCCCAUCACCUCGUCCUAAGGAAGUCAUACCCGCUGCAGGGUCUGCUCUGUGUUUUGUGUGUCAACCACUGCUCCCCGGAUGGCACCCUGAGCAGCUCCUUGUGCCCUCUGAGCCUCCUCCAGUGCCGAUUGGACUGUCUCUGCCUUCUGUCUCUCACCCUCGGCCCGGCUCCUGAGGAAGAGGGGAGAUCAGGGUCUACAGGUAUCAGGACCAGGUUUCAGGAAUGGGGACCAGGCUUGGGAGUCAGACCGUGCCCGCUGCGCAUCUUGCAGUAGCUGUUCAGCCCGACGCACGUCACCCAUGGUAUGGGCCAGGAUUGUGUCCACAUCGGCCAGGCUUCGGACGCGUUCUGCAAUCUCACUUGCUAGGCGCUGGAUCUGCUCAGACGCCGAGACUCAAGUACACACAGACACAAGGGAAGCAAGCACAUGGCCUGGGACACAUGGUAGGCUCACGGCUGAGGAAGUCUUUCA